GGUUGUGUAGUGUAGUGGUUAUCACUCUGGAUUUUGAUUAGGUAGAUUUCAGAUCUUAUCGUCAACCUUCCAGUAACCCCGGUUCGAACCCGGGCACGACCU